rnacentral:lncRNA from 1 species
CCGCUUUCUGACUAAGAAAGGGAUGGAGGAAAUGAGAGGUGAUCAGAUAAUUACAUGACAAUGCUUUAUGGCAAUAGUCCAGGGAAAUAAGCCUAAGAAAACUCUAUCAAUUGAAGGUUUAGACCUAAGAAAGAAAGAAGAUGGAAGCUGAGGUGAACCAGCAGAGCAACUUAUCAACGUGAUACUCGAAAGCAAUCCCAGCCGA